ACCCGCACAAGCAGCGGAGCGUGUGGUUUUAAUUCGUUUGUACUACAACGAAGAACCUUACCUGGGUUUGACAUAUAGGUUGUAGGGAACUGAAAAGGGACCGACCCUUCGGGGAGCCUAUACAGGUGUUGCAUGGCUGUCGUCAGCUCGUGUCGUGAGAUGUUCGGUUAAGUCCGCUAACGAGCGCAACCCUCGUCGUAUGUUAUAUGUGUCAUACGAGACUGCCGGUAAAAGCCGGAGGAAGGUGAGGAUGAUGUCAAGUCAGCAUGACCUUUAUAUCCAGGGCUACACACACGCUACAAUGGUCUGUACAAUGGGUAGCCAAGCCGCGAGGCGGAGCCAAUCCUGAAAGCAGGCCUCAGUUCAGAUUGCAGUCUGCAACCCGACUGCAUGAAGCCGGAGUUGCUAGUAACCGCAGGUCAGCAAUACUGCGGUGAAUACGUUCCCGGGUCUU
rnacentral:rRNA from 1 species